rnacentral:snRNA from 1 species
UUGCUUCUGCAGCAAAUUUACUAAAAUUGGAACAAUACAGAAAUUAGCAUGGCCCAUGCAAGGAUGACACUCACAUUUGGGAAGCAUUCCAUGUUUUU